GCAUAUCAAUAAGCGGAGGAAAAGAAACUAACAAGGAUUCCCUUAGUAACGGCGAGUGAAGAGGGAAGAGCUCAAAUUUUAAAUCUAUCAUGUUUGUACAUGAUCGAGUUGUAAUUUGAAGAAGCGUCUUCUCGUACUUUAUGCAAUCAGUAUAAGUUCUCUUGGAACAGGACAUCAUAGAGGGUGAUAAUCCCGUCUGUUACUGGUUGUGAGGUUCGUUAUGAUACGCUUUCAAAGAGUCGAGUUGUUUGGGAUUGCAGCUCAAAAUGGGAGGUAAAUUUCUCCUAAGGCUAAAUACCGGCGAGAGACCGAUAGCGAACAAGUACCGUGAGGGAAAGAUGAAAAGAACUUUGAAAAGAGAGUUAAAUAGUACGUGAAAUUGUUGAAAGGGAAACGAUUGAAGUCAGUCGUACCGGCGGGAAAUCAGCUUCUCGAGUGGGGGUUCGCGGGUGCGCGGAGCUUCGGCCUUCGUCGCUUGUGACACCUUUUGCUUCUGGAGCGUACUUUUCCGUGUGGUAGGUCAACAUCGGUUUCGAUUGCCAUAAAAUGACCGGAGGAAUGUGGCUUCGAUCUUGUAUUGGAGUGUUAUAGCCUCUGGUAGAUGUGGUGGUUGGGAUCGAGGAUUGCAACGAAUACCCUUUGGGCUAUCCGCCUGACCUCUGAAAGUCGCUUGGGUACCGAAAGCUUGCUUACGGUCAUUCAAGUUGGCGGUCAAAAGGUUAGAACGUGAUUAAAUUCGUUAAGGAUGUUGACGUA
rnacentral:rRNA from 1 species